rnacentral:misc_RNA from 1 species
GAGUUCGAGUCUCCUAACCUCCACUGACCGAACUCAAUCUCCAUCGUCCGGUUUUGGAGGAUGAACUCGAGUGUUUUGGUGUGAUUUAGAUGUGUCCGCUGGAUUGAACCCAGCUUCCUGUCAUUCUAAAGACGAAAUUUUAUUCGUUUUUAGUUGAUAAGAUGCUGGGCUCGAACUGAGAGAUCAGUUCUGAGUUCUAGCA